rnacentral:rRNA from 1 species
GAUCCUGGCUCAGGAUGAACGCUGGCGGCGUGCUUAACACAUGCAAGUCGAACGGGAAACCUUUUAUUGAAGCUUCGGCAGAUUUAGCUGGUUUCUAGUGGCGGACGGGUGAGUAACGCGUGGGUAACCUGCCCUAUACAGGGGGGAUAACAACCAGAAAUGGUUGCUAAUACCGCAUAAGCGCACAGGACCGCAUGGUCCGGUGUGAAAAACUCCGGUGGUAUAGGAUGGACCCGCGUUGGAUUAGCCAGUUGGCAGGG